GUUUUUGUAAACUCAAUUCAAUCAAAAUCCACUACUUCAGAGUCUAUAGCUUCUUUGAAGCCACAGUAACACUGAAAUAUGGUUAAGACUCAAAUGCAGAAAUUUGAUUGGUUGGAAAGCUAAUUAAACUUCCAACUUGUUCAAAUAGAAUUACAAAAAGGCAGUGUUGUGUUUUUCACAGAGAUACAGUCGCCUGGAAUCACCAACACUGGAUAGCUGUUAAGAGUAUUUAGAGUCCUGAGAUAAUAAGGAAUCCGGGAUCCUUUCAACAGUCUUUGACUGUCCUUUCUUCCCAGUCAGAGAUUUGUUUAUGUGAGGAUUGACACCACCACCAGCAAUUGUAGCCUUGAUGAGAGAAUCCAAUUCUUCACCUCCACGAAUAGCAAGUUGUAAAUGAGGAAGGGUAACAAGCUUUACCUUCAAACGUUUGGAUGCAUUUCCUGCCAAUUCAAGUACUUCUGCGGUGAGGUACUCCAUGAUGGCUGCACUGUGCACAGCGACAGUCACGCCCACACGUCCAUGACUGGUUAUCUUAGGUUUCACUGAAUAUUGCCCACUGGCAACUUCAAGCCAGCUCUCUGCUGGCUAUGUCCCUAUGUCUUGGCCUUUUCAGAGUCCUUCCCAGCCUUACUGCCAGCCUUUGAAUUCUGCUGAGGCUUAAACAAGCAAGGCAGAAAAAGAAUUAGAAAACAAGACCCCACAGCCAACUCUUUCAUUGGACCCCGAUUCAAACUGCC
rnacentral:lncRNA from 1 species